rnacentral:rRNA from 1 species
GGCUCAGAUUGAACGCUGGCGGCAUGCCUUACACAUGCAAGUCGAACGGCAGCACGGGGCGAACCUGGUGGCGAGUGGCGAACGGGUGAGGUAAUGCAUCGGAACGUGCCAUUGAGUGGGGGAUAACGUAGCGAAAGUUGCGCUAAUACCGCAUAUUCUGUGAGCAGGAAAGCAGGGGACCGCAAGGCCUUGCGCUCUUUGAGCGGCCGAUGUCAGAUUAGCUAGUUGGUGAGGUAACGGCUUACCAAGGCGACGAUCUGUAGCGGGUCUGAGAGGAUGAUCCGCCACACUGGAACUGAGACACGGUCCAGACUCCUACGGGAGGCAGCAGUGGGGAAUUUUGGACAAUGGGCGCAAGCCUGAUCCAGCCAUGCCGCGUGAGUGAAGAAGGCCUUCGGGUUGUAAAGCUCUUUCGGCCGGGAAGAAAUCGCAUGGGUUAAUACCCUGUGUGGAUGACGGUACCGGAAUAAGAAGCACCGGCUAACCACGUG